GUAGUAAUUCUAGAGCUAAUACAUGCUGUAAAACCUGUACUUUUCGGAAAGGUUGUAUUUAUUAGAUAUCAAACCAAUAAUCUUUCGGGAUUAUUGUGAUGAUUCAUAAUAACUGAUCGGAUCAAGGUGUACCUUGAUAGAUCAUUCAAGUUUCUGCCCUAUCAGCUUUCGAUGGUAGUGUAUUGGACUACCAUGGCAGUCACGGGUAACGGAGAAUUAGGGUUCGAUUCCGGAGAGGGAGCCUGAGAAACGGCUACCACAUCUACGGAAGGCAGCAGGCGCGUAAAUUACCCAAUCCUGAUUCAGGGAGGUAGUGACAAGAAAUAACAACUCGGGGCCUCACGGCUUACGAGAUUGCAAUGAGAACAAUUUAAAAUCUCUUAGCGAGGAACAAUUGGAGGGC
rnacentral:rRNA from 1 species